AAGAGGAAGAAAUCUGAGCUCGGUGGACAUUUGAAUACCUCUCAAGUUCCCCUGCAGAUGGAAGGCCAGCCACUGGAUGUCUGCAGUUAUCCACUCGAGACAUCCUCAAGACCUUGGCUACUCUGCCGCGUGAAAAUUAAGGAGCUAAGGCAAGCCUACCACAAAGCCAGAGAGGCAAACGGAAGGUCUGGGGCCGAGCCACAAACAUGCCGCUUCUAUGCGGAGCUGCAUGCCAUUCUAGGGGGUGCAGCCACCACUACCCCAACCGUGUGCUUUGACUCCGUCAAUGGAGAAACACGCAACAGGGAAGUAGGUUCAGGGUACGCGGAAGAUGAUGAUGAUGAAGACAAUGAAGAUAGCUCACAGCAAGGAAGCGGAGAAACUGGUUUCCCCAACAGCUAGGAUAUGUUUAUCACCCUGGACCUGGAACCAGUAACCCCCCAACUCACCCAAGGCGUGCUCCCAGACCCUGAGGGCACACAAGGGACCUCUGGUCAAUAAUGAAAAUAUCGAAUAAUACCAGAUCCAGGAGUCAUCCCUGCAGGACUCUACUAGAUACACUCUUCCAGUGUGACACUCUUCCAGAGUGACAGAGAACCAUGGAUCACUACACUUUGAAUGUAACAUUGGUCUACAAUUUUUGAGAAGUCGUCUGCUUCAGAGAUAAAAUGUACUAUUUAUUAUGUAUUUUGAUGUGCUGAAUUCAAAUAUGACAAU